rnacentral:rRNA from 1 species
UACGAAGGGGGCUAGCGUUGCUCGGAAUCACUGGGCGUAAAGCGCACGUAGGCGGCUUCUUAAGUCAGGGGUGAAAUCCUGGAGCUCAACUCCAGAACUGCCUUUGAUACUGGGAAGCUCGAGUCCGGGAGAGGUGAGUGGAACUCCGAGUGUAGAGGUGAAAUUCGUAGAUAUUCGGAAGAACACCAGUGGCGAAGGCGGCUCACUGGCCCGGUACUUACGCUGAGGUGCGAAAGCGUGGGGAGCAAACAGG